rnacentral:lncRNA from 1 species
AUAUAACACGUGAUGCAAUUAUUCGUAUAUGAUUGCUCGAAAUCCGUGAAGUAACUAUAUAAGUUUGAACUACUAACCUCAAUUUUUCCCAAGUCGGUGAAUAUAUUACAAUAUUGACUAGUCCAAGUCACAAUGUUCUUGACUUAAAAAAAAACAUAUCACACGAAGUUAAGAUUUUGCAAUAUAUUUGCAAACUCGGUAGAAUAUACUAUAUAGAGCAAUACCUAUAUAAAUAUAAUGGACUACUCUUAACUUCUUCUUGUAUAGCAUAUAGAAUUAGGUCAUAUAAUAUCGAC